rnacentral:rRNA from 1 species
AUUGAACGCUGGCGGCAUGCCUUACACAUGCAAGUCGAACGGCAGCACGGGAGCAAUCCUAGUGGCGAGUGGCGAACGGGUGAGUAAAGUAUCGGGACGUGCCCAGUCGUGGGGGAUAACGUAGCGAAAGUUACGCUAAUACCGCAUACGCUCUAUGGAUGAAAGCGGGGGAUCGCACGCCCCCGCGCGAUUGGCGCGGCCGAUAUCAGAUUAGGUAGUUGGUGGGGUAAAGGCUCACCAAGCCGACGAUCUGUAGCUGGUCUGAGAGGACGACCAGCCACACUGGGACUGAGACACGGCCCAGACUCCUACGGGAGGCAGCAGUGGGGAAUUUUGGACAAUGGGCGAAAGCCUGAUCCAGCCAUGCCGCGUGCAGGAUGAAGGCCUUCGGGUUGUAAACUGCUUUUGUACGGAACGAAAAGGUUUGGGCUAAUAAGCUGAGCUCAUGACGGUACCGUAAGAAUAAGCACCGGCUAACUACGUGCCAGCAGCCGCCGUAA